rnacentral:rRNA from 1 species
UACGAAGGGGGGCUAGCGUUGCUCGGAAUCACUGGGCGUAAAGGGUGCGUAGGCGGAUUGUUAAGUCAGGGGUGAAAUCCUGGAGCUCAACUCCAGAACUGCCUUUGAUACUGGCGAUCUUGAGUCCGGGAGAGGUGAGUGGAACUGCGAGUGUAGAGGUGAAAUUCGUAGAUAUUCGCAAGAACACCAGUGGCGAAGGCGGCUCACUGGCCCGGUACUGACGCUGAGGUGCGAAAGCGUGGGGAGCAAAGCA